GGGUUGUGAGGUUAAGUGACUAAGCGUACACGGUGGAUGCCCUGGCAGUCAGAGGCGAUGAAGGACGUGCUAAUCUGCGAUAAGCGUCGGUAAGGUGAUAUGAACCGUUAUAACCGGCGAUUUCCGAAUGGGGAAACCCAGUGUGUUUCGACACACUAUCAUUAACUGAAUCCAUAGGUUAAUGAGGCGAACCGGGGGAACUGAAACAUCUAAGUACCCCGAGGAAAAGAAAUCAACCGAGAUUCCCCCAGUAGCGGCGAGCGAACGGGGAGCAGCCCAGAGCCUGAAUCAGUGUGUGUGUUAGUGGAAGCGUCUGGAAAGGCGCGCGAUACAGGGUGACAGCCCCGUACACAAAAAUGCACAUGCUGUGAGCUCGAUGAGUAGGGCGGGACACGUGGUAUCCUGUCUGAAUAUGGGGGGACCAUCCUCCAAGGCUAAAUACUCCUGACUGACCGAUAGUGAACCAGUACCGUGAGGGAAAGGCGAAAAGAACCCCGGCGAGGGGAGUGAAAAAGAACCUGAAACCGUGUACGUACAAGCAGUGGGAGCACGCUUAGGCGUGUGACUGCGUACCUUUUGUAUAAUGGGUCAGCGACUUAUAUUCUGUAGCAAGGUUAACCGAAUAGGGGAGCCGAAGGGAAACCGAGUCUUAACUGGGCGUUAAGUUGCAGGGUAUAGACCCGAAACCCGGUGAUCUAGCCAUGGGCAGGUUGAAGGUUGGGUAACACUAACUGGAGGACCGAACCGACUAAUGUUGAAAAAUUAGCGGAUGACUUGUGGCUGGGGGUGAAAGGCCAAUCAAACCGGGAGAUAGCUGGUUCUCCCCGAAAGCUAUUUAGGUAGCGCCUCGUGAAUUCAUCUCCGGGGGUAGAGCACUGUUUCGGCAAGGGGGUCAUCCCGACUUACCAACCCGAUGCAAACUGCGAAUACCGGAGAAUGUUAUCACGGGAGACACACGGCGGGUGCUAACGUCCGUCGUGAAGAGGGAAACAACCCAGACCGCCAGCUAAGGUCCCAAAGUCAUGGUUAAGUGGGAAACGAUGUGGGAAGGCCCAGACAGCCAGGAUGUUGGCUUAGAAGCAGCCAUCAUUUAAAGAAAGCGUAAUAGCUCACUGGUCGAGUCGGCCUGCGCGGAAGAUGUAACGGGGCUAAACCAUGCACCGAAGCUGCGGCAGCGACACUAUGUGUUGUUGGGUAGGGGAGCGUUCUGUAAGCCUGUGAAGGUGUGCUGUGAGGCAUGCUGGAGGUAUCAGAAGUGCGAAUGCUGACAUAAGUAACGAUAAAGCGGGUGAAAAGCCCGCUCGCCGGAAGACCAAGGGUUCCUGUCCAACGUUAAUCGGGGCAGGGUGAGUCGACCCCUAAGGCGAGGCCGAAAGGCGUAGUCGAUGGGAAACAGGUUAAUAUUCCUGUACUUGGUGUUACUGCGAAGGGGGGACGGAGAAGGCUAUGUUGGCCGGGCGACGGUUGUCCCGGUUUAAGCGUGUAGGCUGGUUUUCCAGGCAAAUCCGGAAAAUCAAGGCUGAGGCGUGAUGACGAGGCACUACGGUGCUGAAGCAACAAAUGCCCUGCUUCCAGGAAAAGCCUCUAAGCAUCAGGUAACAUCAAAUCGUACCCCAAACCGACACAGGUGGUCAGGUAGAGAAUACCAAGGCGCUUGAGAGAACUCGGGUGAAGGAACUAGGCAAAAUGGUGCCGUAACUUCGGGAGAA
rnacentral:rRNA from 1 species